rnacentral:rRNA from 1 species
AUGAACGCUGGCGGCGUGCCUAAUACAUGCAAGUCGAGCGAACAGACGAGGAGCUUGCUCCUCUGACGUUAGCGGCGGACGGGUGAGUAACACGUGGAUAACCUACCUAUAAGACUGGGAUAACUUCGGGAAACCGGAGCUAAUACCGGAUAAUAUAUUGAACCGCAUGGUUCAAUAGUGAAAGACGGUUUUGCUGUCACUUAUAGAUGGAUCCGCGCCGCAUUAGCUAGUUGGUAAGGUAACGGCUUACCAAGGCAACGAUGCGUAGCCGACCUGAGAGGGUGAUCGGCCACACUGGAACUGAGACACGGUCCAGACUCCUACGGUAGGCAGCAGUAGGGAAUCUUCCGCAAUGGGCGAAAGCUUGACGGAGCAACGCCGCGUGAGUGAUGAAGGUCUUCGGAUCGUAAAACUCUGUUAUUAGGGAAGAACAAAUGUGUAAGUAACUAUGCACGUCUUGACGGUACCUAAUCAGAAAGCCACGGCUAACUACGUG